rnacentral:rRNA from 1 species
UACAGGGGGUGCAACGUUGCUCGGAAUCAUUGGGCGUAAAGCGCACGUAGGCGGUUCGUUAUGUCGGAUGUGAAAGCCUCGGCUCAACCGAGGAAUUGCGCUCUAAACUACUGUGCUUGAGGGACCUAGAGGUGAGCGGAACUGAUGGUGGAGCGGUGAAAUGCGUUGAUAUCAUCAGGAACACCGGUGGCGAAAGGCGGCGUCUGGGGUCUUUCUGACGCUGAG